GAUGAACGCUGGCGGCGUGCCUAACACAUGCAAGUCGAGCGAACAGACGAGGCUUUUGCUCCUCUUACGCUAGCGGCGGACGGGUGAUUAACACGUGUAUACCCUACCUUUAAGACUGGGAUCACUUCGGGAAACCUGAUCCAACAUCCGAUAAUAUAUUGAACCGCAUGGUUCUUUAGUGCACAACGUUUUUGCUGUCCCUUAUAGAUUUUUCCUCGCUGGAUUAGCUAGUUGGUAAGGUAAAGGCUUACCAAGGCGACGAUGCGUAGCCGAGCUGAGAGGGUGAUCGGCCACACUGGAACUGAGACACGGUCCAGACUCCUACGGGAGGCAGCAGUAGGGAAUAUUCGGCAAUGGGCGAAAGCCUGACGGAGCAACGCCGCGUGAGUGAAGAAGGUCUUCGGAUCGUAAAGCACUGUUAGUAGGGAGGAAGAAAAGUGAAAGAAAAUAUGCAUGUCUUGACGGUACCAAAACAAAAAGCCACAGCUAACUACGUG
rnacentral:rRNA from 1 species